rnacentral:tRNA from 1 species
CGAAACAUAGUUUACCGGGAAAAACGCUGGUAUUACGAGCCAGAGAAGCAGAGUUCAAGUCCUGCUGUUUCGA